UACGGAGGAUGCGAGCGUUAUCCGGAUUUAUUGGGUUUAAAGGGUGCGUAGGCGGACGCUUAAGUCAGCGGUAAAAUUGCGGGGCUCAACCUCGUCGAGCCGUUGAAACUGGGUGCCUUGAGUGGGCGAGAAGUACGCGGAAUGCGUGGUGUAGCGGUGAAAUGCAUAGAUAUCACGCAGAACUCCGAUUGCGAAGGCAGCCUUCCGGCGCCCUACUGACGCUGAGGCACGAAAGUGCGGGGAUCGAACAGG
rnacentral:rRNA from 1 species